AAAAGACUUAGUCCUAACCUUACCAUUAGUUAUCACUAAACAUAUACAUGCAAGUAUCUGCGUCCCAGUGUAAAUGCCCCAUUAACCUCCUCAGGUAAAAGGAGCAGGUAUCAGGCACACCUCAAAGUAGCCCAAGACGCCUUGCUCAGCCACACCCCCACGGGUUUUCAGCAGUAAUUAACUUUAAGCUAUGAGUGAAAACUUGACUUAGUUAUAGUGGUAUAGGGCCGGUAAAUCUUGUGCCAGCCACCGCGGUCAUACAAGAGGCUCAAAUUAAUGGUCCUCGGCGUAAAGUGUGGAGACAUACUAUCCCUCGUAACUAGGACUAAUAUACAUCCAAGCUGUCAUAAGCCCACAAUGUACCCAAAACCCUCAUAAAAAUGGUCCUAGCCCAUAAGAUCUAUUUUACCCACGAAAGCUAUGAAACAAACUGGGAUUAGAUACCCCACUAUGCUUAGCCCUAAAUCUAGAUACUUAAACUACCCAAGUAUCCGCCUGAGAAUUACGAGCACCAACGCUUAAAACUCUAAGGACUUGGCGGUGCCCUAAACCCACCUAGAGGAGCCUGUUCUAUAAUCGAUACUCCACGAUAUACCCGACCAUCUCUAGCCCCCUCAGCCUACAUACCGCCGUCGCCAGCCCGCCUAAUGAAAGCCACACAGCGAGCAUAACAGCCCCCCGCUAAUAAGACAGGUCAAGGUAUAGCACAUGAGAUGGCAGCAAUGGGCUACAUUUUCUAACCUAGAACAACCUUUACUUAUCUUUACGGAAGAGGUAAUGAAACCCCCUCGGAAGGCGGAUUUAGCAGUAAACUGGAACUAGAAAGUCUACUUUAAACUGGCUCUAGGGCACGUACAUACCGCCCGUCACCCUCCUCAUAAGCAACUCCUGUUAUAUAUAAUAAUUAAUUUUGAAGCUGAAGAGGAGGUAAGUCGUAACAAGGUAAGUGUACCGGAAGGUGCACUUAGCAUAUC
rnacentral:ncRNA from 1 species